rnacentral:rRNA from 1 species
AUUGAACGCUGGCGGCAGGCCUAACACAUGCAAGUCGAGCGGAUGAAGGUAGCUUGCUCCUGGAUUCAGCGGCGGACGGGUGAGUAAUGCCUAGGAAUCUGCCUGGUAGUGGGGGAUAACGUCCGGAAACGGGCGCUAAUACCGCAUCCGUCCUGAGGGAGAAAGUGGGGGAUCUUCGGACCUCACGCUAUCAGAUGAUCCUAGGUCGGAUUAGCUAGUUGGUGGGGUAAAGGCCUACCAAGGCGACGAUCCGUAACUGGUCUGAGAGGAUGAUCAGUCACACUGGAACUGAGACACGGUCCAGACUCCUACGGGAGGCAGCAGUGGGGAAUAUUGGACAAUGGGCGAAAGCCUGAUCCAGACAUGCCGCGUGUGUGAAGAAGGUCUUCGGAUUGUAAAGCACUUUAAGUUGGGAGGAAGGGCAGUAAGUUAAUACCUUGCUGUUUUGACGUUACCAACAGAAUAAGCACCGGCUAACUUCGUG